UUUUGUUUACCCACACCAGAAGCGAUGUAAUGGCUGUUGGAAGGAGAGGACCAAGGUGCAGCGUGAUUCAUGGCUGGAAUGUUGCAGGAAUAGAGGCUGUCCUGCAGUUCCUGCACAUGAUUGUGAUCACAGUUGGUGUGCAACUGGAACGCCUGCUUUCAGUUCCUGGUUGCCACUCUCAUAGAAUUCCCUGAGAACAGCUGGGUUUCGACACAUCCAACUAACACACUACCUCUGUAUUACUUCAGAGUGUCUGUGCUAAGGGCUCCAGUCUAGUCACCUUACAUUAUGAUUGUGUUAAUGACAAUGCAAUAGCAAUGAACAACACAGCCAUUUGAAUUGCCAUGUUGUCAGGGAGUACCAGAGUGUGGGUAGUCAUCAUGACCCUGAUGAUUGGAACAAUGAUGUAUGCUUUGAUGGUGGCCAGAAUAACUUCCAUAGUGACCAGCGUCAGCGAACACAUAAUAUAAGGAGGUGAUCAGCUACAACUGUGCCAACCUCAUUUCCAACAUGCCGUGCUUAAAGACGCAGACCCCUUCAUCGCUGAGCUGCUGGAGGUGCUGCAGUUUGAGAUUUUCCAAACAGGGGACCUGAUCAUCCGCAGGGGGUUUCUGGGAGACUGCAUUUAUUUCAUCGACAGGGGUACCUUUGAGGUUCUGAGCUGAAGUAAGCUGAGUCUCAAAAAGCUGCAUCCAAAGUGGACAACAAGGACAAAGCUAGAUCCAGAGAGGACAAGGUCUAUCAAGACAAGGAUGCAUAAGGAUCCCCAUAUUCCACGUGGGAGAAUAAAGAGACCCUGGCGACUGAAAGGCUGUAUCAAUCAGGAGAGAGCGAGAGAGAAAGAGAGUGAGAAAGAGAGCGAUUCCAUUCUCUAGCCAGCGGCCCCAGAUUAGCUCUGAGAGGCAAAGGAGCGCCCCCGCUCUUUGACAAAUGAGAAAAGCCUCCGCCGGCCUGGCCAAACUGACAGGGCAAAUGGAAGCAAUUCCUCCCGAGGCGGGGGAGAGCAGCUGUGACCAAGGCCUGGUGUUCCAGUGCCACUCCAGAUGGGGGACGGCCUCGCCACAGUGGCCUUGCCGCUAGACAAUUGGCGUUCCUCUCACGAUGGCGAGCGGGUGAGCAGGCGGCCCUGGGAGACGGUGUGUAACGCUGACCUGUGUGAAACCCCAUCAGUCGCGGAUCACCGUCCCACUUUACCUGCCGGGGGGAGCCGCCACUGUGUGUUUGUUUCUCCCCCCACCUCUUCUGAGAAAGAGACGUUUGUGUGUGUCAUGUGAAGGCAACAAUACAGAGACUUGUAUUAAGAGAAAAAGUGUGCAGUAUGGCCUCAUGUGGUGGGAUAACUCAUUGACCUCAGGCUAGAAGCAACAGUUUCCAGUGUCUGGGCAUGGUAACCCAGUCUCAGCCCAGAGCCCUGUGAUGGAGUGAAUUACACAGAGACCCUGAUGGAUUAAACCGUCCCCUGGUGAGAUGUACUGCUGCUAUCACCGGAGACACUCACAGAGGUGACUGGGAUGGGACGGUGGAGAGGAGAGAAGUGAAGGAGAGGAAUGGUAGAACGAUAAGGAUUUGGAAAAAGGGGGGAAGAGGAAGAAUAGAGUGUAUAGGGGAGCAGAUGAGGAUAGGGCAAGGAGGGAAAGGAGUGCAGUGGGAGAUAUCCAAGUAAAUAGGAGACAGGGUUUGUGGGAGAGGAAUGGAAGUUAGCUAACCUUUAGUUCCCCUGUCAGUGUUCAGUGUGUGGGUGUUGAGGCUGACACUGGGGAGGUGAGUGAGCAGAGCGCUGCAUCAUGGGUGAAUGCUGCUUUAUCCAGGGCUAAAUGGUCCAGGCUUCACGAAGACACACAGCCACUAUAAUUAUCUAUCCCCGCCUGAGGAAUCAAUUGUAGCUAAGCCUCAUUUUUAUCAGACGGCGAUCCUGGCAUUAAAGUUUUAAAAACCUCAAACUAUUUAAAAGUCAUGCUUUCAGGGACACACACAGAACAUUUGCUGUUAACAAAUAACUUAAUAACUUUCAAUUAUUUAUUCAUGGUCUGUGCCGAAUUUGACUCUAGGUUAAUUUCUCUGCUUUAUACAUUGUUUAAAUAUGCAUCACCUCUUGACUCUUAUAUAAGUGUGGCUGUCAGAUCUAUCAGCUCUGUGCUGACUUUGAGGGAAACAGCUAUGGUCUUAUUGCUCUUUUAUAGACCUUACAGACUGGUUUAAAUAGUGAGUCUAUACAAGUGUAAUUACUGUUAUGCAUGUUUGCUCCCAAAGCUAAUGCCCAUAGGCUUUAGCUCAGUGGGUUAACACAGUCUUGAGGCCAACAGACAUCUGCGACCAGUGCCAGGAUAAUCUCAUUCUGAUUUGCAUAUUCAUAUGAACUCCAUAAUUCAGCAAGUGACUAAAAUGGGUCAGGAGGUGAUGGAGGAUCAGGAAAGUGGAGCUAGCUUUCCAUAGCCCCGGUCCGCUGAAAGCAUGAGAAACAAUGUGGCAGACCUGAAAUAGUUCACAGCUUCAGAACAUUCCCUGGGGGGGGGGGCAAAUUGGCUCUCAGAAGAGUAAAAAGAAACAAUUGCCCUUUACCUCUGAGGUUGCAUGUCGUCUCUCAACCACUCACCGCUGGGCAGAUUAAGGUCAAGUAGACCAUUUUCCUUCUUUCUCUGCUCUGAAGGCAGAGCUAGAAAGAGGGGGAGAAACAGAAAGAGAAUUAGAGGGAAAGAGAGGGAUUCUGAAGGUCUUUCAAAGAGGUUUUACAGCCAUCCCUGGUGAUUUUCUCCCUUUAAACGUUGAUAAUGGCUGCUUGUCAGAGACGAUGAGCUCAGAACUCACCUGCUGUUUCUCAGGCCGACUACGAGAUCUCUUUUUACACACAUUAAUUAUGAAAGAAAUGCCAUGUUGAUCCCAUUGCUGUUGAAUGUGACUCACACAUAUGUCCAUGAAUAGAUUACAAGAGGCAGAUAUGUUGAGAAUGUAGGCUACCCCCAAUUUUCUCUCUCUCAAGAAUUUAGUAAAUACUUAGUAAAUCAACUUUCGCCUUUGCAGUAAUGUAUAAUGAGUCAUUGAAAUAUCGACGCAAUUUGUGCUCAUGUACAUAUCUACCUCAAAUACUGUACCUUGUACCUCUGCACAUUGAUCUGGUACUCCCUACUACUGGAUUGCCAGACAUAGCUGCUGAGUGGGUGAUUCUUAUGAAACUUUCCACCAUGAUACCUAUUGGGUCACUAAGGAUCUAUAGUUAUCUAUAUCUUAAUUAUUAUUAUGUUUAUUGAUCAGAUAUUAUGCAUUUUACCACAAUUUCCACAACUACCAAUGCAAAAAUUCUCAUUACCGCAAUAGUUUUUUAAGUCCAAAAAAGUCAUAAACAAAUCAAUUUGUAAUCAUUUUUAACAUUGCUCACCUAAUGAAAAGGCCUGAAUUAUACAUAACAAUAAAAGCAAAUAUACAGUGGGGAGAACAAGUAUUUGAAACACUGCCGAUUUUGCAGG